UACGGAGGGGGCAAGCGUUGUUCGGAAUUACUGGGCGUAAAGCGCACGUAGGCGGAUCGAUCAGUCAGGGGUGAAAUCCCAGAGCUCAACUCUGGAACUGCCUUUGAUACUGUCGAUCUGGAGUAUGGAAGAGGUGAGUGGAAUUCCGAGUGUAGAGGUGAAAUUCGUAGAUAUUCGGAGGAACACCAGUGGCGAAGGCGGCUCACUGGUCCGGUACUGACGCUGAGGUGCGAAAGCGUGGGGAGCAAACAGG
rnacentral:rRNA from 1 species